rnacentral:lncRNA from 1 species
CGGAGCGUGUGCUGUGUGCAGGUUUGGGGGCGGGGGCGGUGCCGUGGGGCAUACGCAAAAAUCUCUCUUUCUGUCUUCAAAGCGUCCCAUCUCCCAGCCAGCAUGUUUAACUACGAUCUGCGUUCCCACUCUUCAUUUUACAGCCAAGGAGACAAACCCAGCAAAGAAACUUGUCCUAACAUGCACAGUCAGGCUGGUAAGUCCACCCGGCUACCAAAGACCUGUUUAAGGAGGUCGGGAUGUCUAAUUUGCACGUGGGGAUGGGAUGUGACCUGGAGCUCAUGCAACAGGCAACACGACGGCCCUGGUCUCUCUGUCCAGGAAACGCACAGUGUAGACGGAGGAACAGCGUCUGUCAGCUUCCAUCCUGUGAGUGCACCAGGAAGAGGGGGUGGUUGGGGAGGGGCGGGGGAGAUGCCCCGGAAGCCGCGAAGCCGCGAGGAGGAGCCCUUCGCCAAGACAAGGCUCCUGCGGGCUAGAUGCGGGAACCGGGGAAAGAGCUUUGAAGGUUGCGAGCUGGGAAAGCAUGGAAUUAGGUUUGCACUUGCUGUUAUGGCCAAAGGAAAACAACGACGAACCAGGGCCAGCCUGAAGCAAUGGUUAGGACAUCUCUCCCCACGAAGAUGAUCCAGGGUAUCUAGAAAACCCUGUGGAAUGUAGCUUUAA